ACGCUAGCUACUUGCACUGUCUCCUGUCGGCGUGGAGGACUACUGGAUGGAACUCAGGGACUCUGAUUCAGUCACCCCACGGGUCACAAAGAGGAUCAUAGAGACGAGAGCAAAGAGAACCCUGAAUGAGAUGCCAGUGACAAGUUGUGGCUAAGGUAAGUGGAAGUUUGCUGGCACAGCCUCCUCUGCUUCUUCCUGCCAGAACACAGACACAAGUCAGGGGAGCAGUUCCUACCCCUGAGGAGAGCACAGCAUGAACAUGAAGGAGCCUGGUACCUAGAGGACAAUGCUGAAUCCAUGCAGCAGCUCUGGACAACCCAGUCUACAGGACACAGGAUGCUCACGCCUUCCAGGACCUCUCACUGAGUAGGGGCAAGUGGGUGCACAUGGAGCCGGGUUCUCCCUAGAAACUUGAAGGCGAGACAAGCAGCUGCUGAGGAAGUCAGGCUGCAUCUCUGUGUGUGGUUUGUGGAACACUCACCUCACAGUUCCUAUCUCCCCGUCUUUUAAGCAAAUAAACAUUUAUUUCCAUUUGCCCUUUGUGUUGACUGGCUCACACAGUUGAAGUUGAUUAAGCAAAUAUAAGUGUUGGGAAGCGUCAUGAAACCACAUCUCAGUCUGUGGUGUUCAGCUGCAGAGUCAAGCGGUGCUUGUUCACUGUUUGAAUUUUAGGUUUAUCCUUUACUGAUUUUGUUUUCUUUCUUUUUAUCCCCAGAGCAGUGCCGGCUCCUGGUAGCACAUUCAUCCAAUACCCAGUGUAUUAAGAGUGAACAUCUAUAACCACCUUUCCAAUUUACUCUCCAGCAGUGGUGCUGGUGUAAGUGUGCACUGGAGCAGAUUCAGCUGUCUUCAAACUUCAGCAGCUUCUUUGUUAAGUAAUGUGCUGGUUACCCAAACUUGUUAACAAUGAGGCCUGAGACUCCAAAACAUUUCUCCAUGUAUUAGCAUCUAGGUUCUCUUCCCACCGGCUUAGCCACUCCCAAAUCAUUACUGGUAUCUUUGAUUACCUUAUCUCAUCCUGGGCAGCAUUUCUUAGUUUCCCAAAGUGGAAAUCCUUUGCUUCUCCAAUUUGUCAGCAGCUUCAGUCCAUUGACCUGCCGCGCUGUCUUGGGGGCUUUGUCAUUCCCAUUGCCCGGGCCCCGAUCCCUCCCUCCACCUCAGAGCCUGUAUGAGUAGAUUUUGGGUGUACAGCCCUGUACUUCUGAGGCAUCCAGAACUGUCUGACAGAGGAAGGGGCUCCUGACAUAUCUUGACCUUGUCUAGCAGCUGCAGCAAGACUAUAGUCCUUCUAUCACACUUUGCAUUAAACCUGCUCUUGAAACAGUGGACAAAUUUAAACAUUGGAAACUUUACUCUUAAUGAUUUAUCCACAAAUCUUAUUUUGUUGACCUUCAUUUUCUUAAAACUUCCUUGUCCUAUUUUAAAAUUCUGGAUAUAUCUUUAUGUUUCAGCUCAACAUGGACCUUUCCUUCCCUUCAGGUAAUAUAACCAAAGAAAAGGUUGUCCAUCAGCUGACAAUAAGCAGCCCCAAAUCUGAAAUGGUUCAGUCUUGUUUAAGACUGCCAAUGGCAGAAACUCAUUCAUUUGAGCCGGCAUCACCUCUCCUUUCCUGCCUGGGGUGGGGUACAGCCUAUGUGGGGCAGUGGAUGAAGGGAGAAGGAAAUGUACAGCGGCAACACUGUUAGCUUUGUGCAAAGAACCCAGCUUGCAAAACUUUUGUCCACUAGGGAAGGGACUUUCAGGAGGUCUGGGAGGUGAACUGGCCCAGGUUUUAACCACCAGUGAAAGGGAAUAGAUAGACCCACGGACUCAGAUGGAGAGCCAGAGUUUAAGGAACUUGCUAGGCCUACUUCCUGAAUCCUCACCAAGCCUGUGCCUUCAGCUAAGCUGGGAUCUGCUGGCUGCCUACUUAAGGGCAGAUGGCUAGAAUCCACUGACAGGUCCUCCCAUGGCAUGUCUGGGGCAUCAGCCAGCUAGAUGAAGACAGCCCUGGCCCAGAGGACUCUGAGCACUUAAGAUGGGGGCUUUAGCACCCAAGAGAGGGUGCCCACCAAACUCAACGGGGAGGACUGCUCCAACUUAGUGGGACUUCCUACACUGUGUCUCAUGCUUUCAAUCAGUCUUGUGCCUCAUCUAUUAACCCCUGUUUCCCUGGUAUUUGCUACACUCUCUGGACCCAGAGCAUCCUCUCAGAUUCCGCUUCAGACACUGCAUAGCUGAGCCAGCAAACUCCCCAUCCCCCAACCCCAGGCCCUGGUUUUCAGGCCAAGUGCUCCACCUGCUGGUGACACUGGAUUCUCACAGAAUCCAACCUUAAACCCUGCUUCCCAGAGGCCUCUGUACACUGACCUUGACAUUCUGUUGCGUGAGAGGGGAUCCCUUCAUCCCAUUACUACUAGAACUUUCAAACAACUGACCAAAAAUUCGUGUCUGUUAGAGGUGCUGUCCAGGAAACAAUAGGAGAUUCAUUUUGUUUAAAGCCACACACUGACACGACACCACAGAUAAAAAGUAGCUGCCUGGCUUGGUGAGAGGGAGGCCCAGGAGGGUGGCAGGGGAGGCACCUGCCCUCAUUGUUGUAACUCAUCGUCAUGUGACCGUUUCUUCUAACACGUAGCCUUCAAGGCUGUGAUGUGCUUGUCUAAUAUAAACUGUAACCAUUAGAGGCUAGUCGCACUACUGCCUCCCCAUCAGCUCCUGGGGCCCCAUCUGGUCAAGAGGGAAAUGGCCACCAUGGCUGUUGCAGGCAAACACGGGCACAGGACCUGUUGUGCACCAGGCUCUGGGCUCGGCCUUCACCGGUAUUGUCCUCACGCACUCCACACCAACUGCAGGUGGAGGUCCUAGGCAUUGGCACUUCUGUAUGCGCUUGAGAAACUAAGCACAGAGAGCUGAAGAGGCUUGCAAGGGCACACAGCUGGCAUGAGGAGGCCCCAGGGGCCAGCCUCUGCCCCACCAUGCUAUCCCGGGUCAGCGGGGAGGAGGCAGGUCCAGACACCAACCCCCACCCCUCCCCAUGGGAGUGAUCACACCAGCAAGGAAGGCAAAUGGCUUCCAGGUGAAGCCGGCCUGGUGCUCCCACUCUGGGCCCUGCCAGCCAUCGUGAGCCCAGCCUCUCAGCCCCAGGCAGGGACAACAGCCCAGGGGGGCAGGCAGAAAGGCAGCCCCAGCACUAGAGCCAGCAGUCUGCAAGCUGACUUUGCAGCUGCUGCCCAGGAAGCUCUGUGGGGUGUCAGGCCCUGCUGAGACCACAGCCUUCAGUCCUGCAGAGGUAGGAGCCCUCCCAGCUACAGUUUCAAACUAGCCUUGGGAUCUUGUCUCCACCUCCUUGGUCUCCUCCCCUUUUCCCCCAUCACACCUUCUGCUUCCCUUUUACCCUCUAACCUCUAACUGGGUUGUUUCACCUUCACUGAAUCCCAAGCCCCAGAAUGGUGUUGAAGACAUUGUCGAUGUUCCAGAGAGAUGUCUCAAUUGACAGUGUGAAUGAAGGCUAUGAAAGGGCACACUUUCCACUGAAUAGACUCUAGGAUGCUGGUCAUUCUCCAGAUUCAUUCUGGACCUUUCUGUCUGCCCUGUGCCUGAGGCUGACUCCACUGUCCACAACACCAGGCCCUCUGGGGGCUGCAUUUGCUCCAGCACUAAAUGGGGGAAUGGGGGGUAGGGCGGUUUCCCCUGGCCCCUCCCUGCUUUGCUUCCUUGCUGACAGCCCCUCAGGGGCCCAGAGGACAGCAACCCCUCCUGCCUCCAGGCCCAGGGUGGGCACAGCUGCCCCCAGCAUCUGGGAGGCUCCCCUUCCUCCUCCUCCCUUCCCCCUGCCCACAGCUCUGCGGACUCACCUUCCUUGGCACCCCUGGGAAUGAAGUGCUCCCUGUGGGCAUCUUCUCUGAUCCACCAGGCAACCCUUCUUGUGUGUGUAUAUGACUUUGGUACUUUAUCUGCACAGACAAAUCA